rnacentral:tRNA from 1 species
AAUAAGGUGCCUGACAAAAGGGUUAUCUUGAUAGGAUAAAUUAUGUAAAAUUUACCCUUAUUG